UACGUAGGGGGCAAGCGUUGUCCGGAUUUAUUGGGCGUAAAGCGCUCGCAGGUGGUUCGUCGCGUCGUGCGUGAAAGACCCCGGCUCAACUGGGGGGUGUCGUGCGAUACGGGCGGACUGGAGGCCAGUAGGGGGAUGCGGAAUUCCGGGUGUAGUGGUGGAAUGCGUAGAGAUCCGGAGGAACCCCAGAGGCGAAGGCGGCCCCCUGGCUCGUACCUGACGCUCAGCCACGAAAGCAUGGGGAGCGAACGGG
rnacentral:rRNA from 1 species